rnacentral:rRNA from 1 species
CUGGCGGCGUGCCUAAUACAUGCAAGUCGAACGGUCUUUCUAUGGAAGCUUGCUUCCACUGAGAAGAUAGUGGCGAACGGGUGAGUAACACGUGGGUAACCUGCCCAUAAGAGGGGGAUAACAUCCGGAAACGGGUGCUAAUACCGCAUAGUUUUCUUGAUUGCAUGAUUGAGAAAGGAAAGACGGCCUUUGUGCUGUCGCUUAUGGAUGGACCCGCGGCGUAUUAGUUAGUUGGUGAGGUAACGGCUCACCAAGACGAUGAUACGUAGCCGACCUGAGAGGGUGAUCGGCCACAUUGGGACUGAGACACGGCCCAAACUCCUACGGGAGGCAGCAGUAGGGAAUCUUCCGCAAUGGACGAAAGUCUGACGGAGCAACGCCGCGUGAGUGAAAGAAGGUUUUCGGAUCGUAAAACUCUGUUGUCAGAGAAGAACAAGUUGGAGAGUAACUGCUCCAGCCUUGACGGUAUCUGACCAGAAAGCCACGGCUAACUACGUGCCAGCCGCGGC